CGAACUCAGACGUGAAACGCAACAGCGCCGAUGAUAGUGUGGGGUUUCCCCAUGUGAAAGUAGGUCACUGCCAGGC
rnacentral:rRNA from 1 species